CUAUUCAGAAAACUACUGUAGAAGCGGUAGUAAAAUUCAUGGAGCAGAUGACUGGCAAAAGCUUUGCUGAAAUUAUAAACGUACCUAAUUGGUGAGUUCAAAACUAGAAUAAAUCCCGGUAUGAUUUUAUUAAUAACAUAAUUAUUUAUAAUUAAUUUUUUUUGCAUUUAUUCAAGCUAUUCUUAAUUUUAUCAUGUAGAGUUAAUUAAGAAGAAAUGAAGAAGUAACUUGAUUGAGGUGGAUUUUACUUUAUGAGACGUAUUAUUGCCAUGGGCAAAGUAUGAUUUAAGUUUUUAAAUUUAGCUGAUGUUUAUAUUUUGGGCAUGUUUCAUAGGGAUCUUUGUCUUAAUUCGGAUAUGAAUUAUGGUAAUUUUGCUUAACACUAUGAGUUUUUUUUAUGAUAUGGUUAUCUGCUUUCUUUAGUGUCGUAUUAUCUUUAAAAAAUGAAAAAAACUUCUUGUUUUGCGAAGGAAGUUUGCAUUCCGCCGGAGAAAAGAGAUUAGAAAACAAAGAGUUUCGCUUAUUAAUUUAUUUCUCGUAUUAUUUCAAAUUUUUUUCCUAUUUUACACUAUGAGUACACAAGAAUAUGAGUGGAAAUAUAUCAGAAUUAUGAGAGAGAGCGAACUAUGAAACAGAGGGAAGAAACGAAAGAAAAGGGAAGGGAAAACAGGGUAGGUGGCAACGAAGAAUGAGACAUGAUCUCGGUGGAACUCUUCUGCCUAAAAAAAAAAUAGAAUAGCAAUGGUUGCUAUUGCUGCUGUAUUGCAGAAGACAUGUUUUUCCACAGUGUCCUUGAGGUUCAAGGUUCAGUAAA
rnacentral:lncRNA from 1 species